CAUGACGACACCGUGCUUGUUGUCAGAGACUGAGUGCCAGACACCAACAGCAUGCACGCGCGCCACGACAGGUAACGGUCCUGUGUGGGUUAGAGGAAGAAGGAAGUGUUAGAGACAAGGAGCGUUAGUCUGUAGCAGGCUAGUCAGCACCCGGCUGUCACACUGCACGCACCCAGACUCAGGCUAUGGCACCCCGACUCCUGUCGUCUGCGUUUGCAUGCAGCGUCUUUGCAGGCCUCCUUGUGUCCUCGGUACAAGCAGAUGACAGUGCCGGUGCAAUAGCAGGCGCAGUGAUUGGAGGACUGUCAAGUGCGGGCUUUCUGGUCUACCUGUGUAUGUACAUCUGCUCCAGGUGUACUAAGCCCUCGGUGAUUCCUACAACAGUCGAGACCAGCAUUCCCAACACUGCUGCCUCGGUCUGGCAGUCACAGCAGGCUCCGUGACACACCCGUGACACA